rnacentral:rRNA from 1 species
UACGUAGGUGGCAAGCGUUGUUCGGAAUAACUGGGCGUAAAGGAUGCGUAGGCGGUUAAACAAGUUAUAUGUUAAAUAUAUAGGCUUAACCUGUAGAAAGCAUAUAAAACUGUUUAACUAGAGUGCAGGAGAGGUAAGUGGAAUUCCUAGUGUAACGGUGAAAUGCGUAGAGAUUAGGAAGAACACCAGUGGCGAAGGCGACUUACUGGACUGUAACUGACGCUGAGGCAUGAGAGCAUGGGGAGCAAACAGG